rnacentral:rRNA from 1 species
UACGUAGGGGGCAAGCGUUGUCCGGAAUCAUUGGGCGUAAAGAGCGUGUAGGCGGCUCGGUAAGUCCGCUGUAAAAGUCCAGGGCUCAACCCCUGGAAAAGCCGGUGGAAACUGUCGAGCUAGAGUCCGGAAGAGGCGAGUGGAAUUCCUGGUGUAGCGGUGAAAUGCGCAGAUAUCAGGAGGAACACCAAUGGCGAAGGCAGCUCGCUGGGACGGUACUGACGCUGAGACGCGAAAGCGUGGGGAGCAAACAGG